UCCCACCCAAAACAUAAAUGUGAAAGGCUGCCAAGUUCGAUAAUAUUGGAAUGCUUCGCCUAUAAAAGAAGUGAGAUCUAAAUAAGUACCAAGUUCCAUACACAGACCUCAGUUAAAAAUGAUAUAACAAGUUGGCAAGUUUUCACACACUUUGUUAUAAACCUACUAAACGCAAUGAGUCAAGUAUAUAAUUUUCUAUUAAAACUUGCCAAGUUAUAUCAUUUUUAACUGAGUUAUAGGUGGGUCGAACUUGGCCCGAAAUGGUUCGUGUAAUAUAACCCACGGCCGGUGUGUCGGUUUUUUUUGCUCGAACUUGGCGGACACACUGCCGUGUGUCUAGAUACAAU